UACGUAGGUGGCAAGCGUUGUUCGGAAUUAUUGGGCGUAAAGGGCGCGUAGGCGGCAUGUUAAGUCGGCUGUGAAAGCCUGGGGCUCAACCCCAGAGGGUCGGCCGAUACUGGCAAGCUAGAGUACGGAAGAGGUAGCUGGAAUUCCCGGUGUAGCGGUGAAAUGCGUAGAUAUCAAGAGGAACACCUGCGGCGAAGGCGGGUUGCUGGGCUGACACUGACGCUGAGGCGCGAAAGCUAGGGGAGCGAACGGG
rnacentral:rRNA from 1 species